rnacentral:rRNA from 1 species
AUAAGGGCGUAUGGGGAAUGCCUAGGCUCUCAGAGGCGAAGAAGGACGUGAUAAGCUGCGAAAAUCCACGGGGAUCGGCACAUACGAGUAGAUCCGUGGGUAUCCGAAUGGGGCAACCCGUCUGGCUGAAGGCCAGUCACUCCCGAGCAAUCGGGGGAGCGAACCCGGAGAACUGAAACAUCUAAGUACCCGGAGGAAGAGAAAACAAUAGUGAUUCCGCAAGUAGUGGCGAGCGAACGUGGAACAGCCCAAACCCUGUCAGUUACGGCUGAUGGGGGGUUGUAGGACUGCAUAAUCAAACUAAAACUGAACAAGAACCAUGUGGAAAAAUGGACCGCAGAGGGUGAGAGUCCCGUAUUGGCAAGGUAUUAGUGCGAGGCAGUAUCCUGAGUAGGUCGGGACCGGAGAAAUCCCGAUUGAACCCGCCGGCACCAUCCGGUAAGGCUAAAUACUCCUGAGAGACCGAUAGUGAACCAGUACCGUGAGGGAAAGGUGAAAAGUACCCUGAAUAAGGGGGUGAAAUAGAACCUGAAACCAUACGCUUACAAGCGGUCGGAGUCCCCAUUAAUGGGGAUGACGGCGUGCCUUUUGCAUAAUGAGCCUACGAGUUAUCCUCUUUGGCAAGGUUAAUCACCUAAGGUGAGCAUCCGGAGCGAAAGCGAGUCUGAACAGGGCGCGAUAGUCAGAGGGGGUAGACGCGAAACUCGGUGAUCUACCCAUGUCCAGGUUGAAGUUGCGGUAACACGCCAUGGAGGACCGAACCAGUAUACGUUGAAAAGUAUUUGGAUGAGGUGUGGGUAGGGGUGAAAGGCCAAUCAAACUGAGAAAUAGCUCGUACUCCCCGAAAUGCUUUUAGGAGCAGCGUGGGGUAAUUUCUAGUAGAGGUAGAGCUACCAAUAGGACUAGGGGGAGUCAAAUCCUACCAACUCCUGAUGAACUCCGAAUGCUACUAGAAUAAGCCCCGCAGUGAGGGCUAGGGUGCUAAGGUCCUAGUCCGAGAGGGAAAGAACCCAGACCUACAGCUAAGGUCCCAAAAUAUAUGCUAAGUUGAACUAAGGUGGUCCAGUUGCCCAGACAGCCAGGAUGUUGGCUUGGAAGCAGCCAUUCAUUUAAAGAGUGCGUAACAGCUCACUGGUCGAGCGACAGGGCGUCGAUGAUAAUCGGGCAUCAAGCAUAUUACCGAAGCUAAGGCAACGCCGUAAGGCGUUGGGUAGGGGAGCAUUCUAACCAGCGGCGAAGCCGUUCUGUAAGGGAUGGUGAAGCGGUUAGAAAAGCAAAUGUAGGCAUAAGUAACGAUAAUGAGGGUGAGAAACCCUCACACCAAAAGACUAAGGUUUCCCCGGCAAUGCUAAUCAGCCGGGGGUUAGUCGGGACCUAAGGCGAACCCGCAAGGGGUAGUCGAUGGACAAUCGGUUAAUAUUCCGAUACUACCUUACCAAGUGAAGUGGUGACGGAGGAGUGAACCCGCUGCGUACUGACGGAAUAGUACGUUGAAGGGAGUAGGUAUAUUGUUUGUAGGCAAAUCCGCAGACAAUGCCGAACCUGAUAGUACCACAAUGCUUCGGCAGCGUGGAUAAUGCGGUUAAACAGACUUCCAAGAAAACCCGCUAGCGUUAAUUGAUAAGGUACCCGUACCGUAAACCGACACAGGUAGUCGGGGAGAGAAUCCUAAGGUGCUCGAGUGAGUCGUGGCUAAGGAACUAGGCAAAAUGGCCCUGUAACUUCGGGAGAAGGGGCGCCUAGCCGGUGCUGACCUUCGGGUCAGCCCGGAAGGCCGCAGUGAAAAGAUCCAGGCGACUGUUUAGCAAAAACACAUGGCUUUGCGAAAUCGAAAGAUGAAGUAUAAGGCCUGACACCUGCCCGGUGCUGGAAGGUUAAGGGGGGAUGUUAUCAACCUUAGGGUUGAGAAGCAUUGAACUGAAGCCCCAGUAAACGGCGGCCGUAACUAUAACGGUCCUAAGGUAGCGAAAUUCCUUGUCGGGUAAGUUCCGACCUGCACGAAUGGUGCAACGAUCUGGAUACUGUCUCAGCCACGAGCUCGGUGAAAUUGUAGUAGCGGUGAAGAUGCCGCUUACCCGCAACGGGACGGAAAGACCCCAUGAACCUUUACUAUAGCUUAACAUUGACAUUGUGUACAUGAUGUGUAGGAUAGGUGGGAGACUAUGAAGCUGAGUCGCUAGAUUUGGUGGAGUCGCCCGUGAAAUACCACCCUUUAUUUAUGUGAUGCCUAAUCCCCAUCGGGGAGACAUUGUUUGGUGGGUAGUUUGACUGGGGUGGUCGCCUCCAAAAGCGUAACGGAGGCUUUCAAAGGUACCCUCAGGACGGUUGGUAAUCGUUCGCAGAGUGCAAUAGCAUAAGGGUGCUUGACUGUGAGACUAACAAGUCGAGCAGGUAGGAAACUAGGAUAUAGUGAUCCGGCGGUACCGCAUGGAAGGGCCGUCGCUCAAAGGAUAAAAGGUACUCUGGGGAUAACAGGCUGAUCUCCCCCAAGAGCUCAUAUCGACGGGGAGGUUUGGCACCUCGAUGUCGGCUCGUCACAUCCUGGGGCUGGAGAAGGUCCCAAGGGUUGGGCUGUUCGCCCAUUAAAGUGGCACGCGAGCUGGGUUCAGAACGUCGUGAGACAGUUCGGUCCCUAUCUGUUGUGGGCGCAAGAAGCUUGCGAGGGUCUGUCCUUAGUACGAGAGGACCGGGAUGGACCAACCUCUGGUGUACCGGUUGUGGUGCCAACUGCACCGCCGGGUAGCUAAGUUGGGCAGAGAUAAGCGCUGAAAGCAUCUAAGCGCGAAACUCACCUCAAGAUGAGGCUUCUUUAUAAGGGUCGUCAGAGACGAUGACGUAGAUAGGUUGCAGGUGUAAAGUCAGAGAUGGCAUAGCCGAGCAAUACUAAUUACCCGUAAGCUUUUAUU